UGUUCGUAUGCACACAAAAAAAGUGAAUAUGUGUGCAUUUGUGUGUGCAUGAAAAUGUGAAAGGAAGUACAGGGUCAAGUGGCAGGUGAGAGACGAUGUGUGUGGUGUGUGUGUGUGUGUGUGUGUGUGUGUGUGUGUGUGCCAACAUGUAUGAAAGUGUGUGUUUGUGAAGAGGAUGCUUUUUUUUUCCUUUCGUAGAGCGAUGCAUAACUACUAUAGGUGCACUAUAGGAAGAGAGGAGGGAGCCAUGGAGGCCGGCUCGUACCAGUAGUACUGCCUCCCUGUCGGCGUACUGCUCAGCCUCCUGUAGUCAGUGCCGGAGUCUAAGCAGAUGGUCUGGCAGUAAUCCUAAACAGAAACACACACACACACACACACACACACACACACACACACACACACACACACACACACACACACACACACACACACACACACACACACACACACACACACACACACACACACACACUAA